rnacentral:rRNA from 1 species
UACGAAGGGGGCUAGCGUUGCUCGGAAUCACUGGGCGUAAAGGGUGCGUAGGCGGGUCUUUAAGUCAGGGGUGAAAUCCUGGAGCUCAACUCCAGAACUGCCUUUGAUACUGAAGAUCUUGAGUCCGGGAGAGGUCAGUGGAACUGCGAGUGUAGAGGUGAAAUUCGUAGAUAUUCGCAAGAACACCAGUGGCGAAGGCGGCUCACUGGCCCGGUACUGACGCUGAGGUGCGAAAGCGUGGGGAGCAAACAGG